CCAAGGAGUCUAACAUGUGCGCGAGUUACUGAGUGGUAAACUCAAAGGCGAAAUAAAAGUAAAGACAGCGCUAGCUGGCUUAAAUAUGAUCCUCGGCUUCGGCUGGGGCGGAGUAUUGUCCCAUCUAAUGGUUCGUCCACUGGGUGGAGAAAGAGCGCAAAUGUUGGGACCCGAAAGAUGGUGAACUAUGCCUGAGCAGAACGAAGCCAGAGGAAACUCUGGUGGAGGUUCGUAGCGGUUCUGACGUGCAAAUCGAUCGUCAGACUUGGGUAUAGGGGCGAAAGACUAAUCGAACCAUCUAGUAGCUGGUUCCCUCCGAAGUUUCCCUCAGGAUAGCUGGAACUCGAAGUAAUAGUUUUAUCCGGUAAAGCGAAUGAUUAGAGGAUUUGGGGACGAAAUGAUCCUCAACCUAUUCUCAAACUUUAAAUGGGUAAGA
rnacentral:rRNA from 1 species